rnacentral:tRNA from 1 species
GGCGGCAUAGCUCAGUUGGUAGAGCAGUGGAAUCAUAAUCCAUGGGUCGGGGGUUCAAGUCCCUCUGCCGCUACCA